UCUAGAAAGAUCCUACGGGUGGCAGCAGCGGGGAAUCUUGCGCAAUGGGCGAAAGCUUGACGCAGCGACGCCGCGUGGGGGAUGAAGCUUCUCGGAGUGUAAACCCCUUUCGACCGGGACGAAUGCCCGCAAGGGAGUGACGGUACCGGUAGAAGAAGCCCCGGCUAACUACGUGCCAGCAGCCGCGGUAAGACGUAGGGGGCCAGCGUUGUUCGGAAUUACUGGGUGUAAAGGGUUCGUAGGCGGUGUGGCAAGUCGGGAGUGAAAUUUCUGGGCUUAACUCAGAACCUGCUUCCGAAACUGCUGUGCUCGAGUGUGGGAGAGGCGCGUGGAAUUGCAGGUGUAGCGGUGAAAUGCGUAGAUAUCUGCAGGAACACCCGUGGCGAAAGCGGCGCGCUGGACCACUACUGACGCUGAGGAACGAAAGCUAGGGGAGCAAACAGGAUUAGAUACCCUAGUAGUC
rnacentral:rRNA from 1 species